AUGGCACCGUAUCGAUUACGGUCGGUCAUUUCUGAAACAAAAUGAUUGUAAUUUGGUUGCCGGGCUAUUUCUACGGGGGACGCACUUUUGCGUCCAAGGAAACUUCGUUUCCUUUACAACAUUUAUAUGAUUAACAAGAUUUGACUGCACACGUGUGCGUCCGCAACCGAGAUGUUUGUUUAUCGUCUAUCUGCUUUUUAUUUAUAUAGUGAUUUUUAUGUGGCUGUAAUAAUUGUGCGGUCGUUAUUUUAAAAAGGAACGAAAGGAUCCUUACGAAGUGUUCGUGUUAAUCUGUCUACUCACCGUUAGAGGGUGGCAGCAUGAAAAAGCGGACUCCUCGACUAUUUUAAACUUUCAUCGAGAGGCGACAAAAAUUUUAAAAUUCUCAAUAAUUAAUACAGUAUAAAAGCAAAUUAAUUAUUUAA